rnacentral:rRNA from 1 species
UACGUAGGGGGCAAGCGUUGUCCGGAUUUAUUGGGCGUAAAGAGCGUGUAGGCGGCCAGAUAGGUCAGCUGUGAAAACUCGAGGCUUAACCUCGAGAUGUCAUCGGAAACCAUCUGGCUAGAGUCCGGAAGAGGAGAGUGGAAUUCCUGGUGUAGCGGUGAAAUGCGCAGAUAUCAGGAGGAACACCGGUGGCGAAGGCGGCUUCCUGGACCGACACUGACGCUGAGGCGCGAAAGCUAGGGGAGCAAACGGG